GAAGCUGGCGGCGUGUUUAACACAUGCAAGUCGAACGAUGAAGCCGGAGCUUGCUUUGGCGGAUUAGUGGCGAACGGGUGAGUAACACGUGAGUAACCUGCCCCCGACUUCGGGAUAAGCCCGGGAAACUGGGUCUAAUACCGGAUAUGACCUCGCACCGCAUGGUGUGGGGUGGAAAGAUUUAUCGGUGGGGGAUGGACUCGCGGCCUAUCAGCUUGUUGGUGAGGUAAUGGCUCACCAAGGCGACGACGGGUAGCCGGCCUGAGAGGGUGACCGGCCACACUGGGACUGAGACACGGCCCAGACUCCUACGGGAGGCAGCAGUGGGGAAUAUUGCACAAUGGGCGCAAGCCUGAUGCAGCGACGCCGCGUGAGGGAUGACGGCCUUCGGGUUGUAAACCUCUUUCAGUAGGGAAGAAGCGCAAGUGACGGUACCUGCAGAAGAAGCGCCGGCUAACUACGUGCCAGCAGCCGCGGUAAUACGUAGGGCGCAAGCGUUAUCCGGAAUUAUUGGGCGUAAAGAGCUCGUAGGCGGUUUGUCGCGUCUGCCGUGAAAGUCCGAGGCUCAACCUCGGAUCUGCGGUGGGUACCGGCAGACUACAGUGAUGUAGGGGAGACUGGAAUUCCUGGUGUAGCGGUGAAAUGCGCAGAUAUUA
rnacentral:rRNA from 1 species